GACAGAGGUGGCAAGCGUUGCUCGGAUUCACUGGGCUUAAAGGGCGCGUAGGCGGCUUUGUAAGACUAAGGUGGAAUUCCACAGCUCAACUGUGGAACUGGCUUGGAAACUGCAAAGCUUGAGUCAGGUAGAGGAGGGCGGAAUUCCCGGUGUAGCGGUGAAAUGCGUAGAUAUCGGGAGGAAGGCCGGUGGCGAAGGCGGUCCUCUGGGCCUGUAUUGACGCUGAGGCGCGAAAGCGUGGGGAGCAAACAGG
rnacentral:rRNA from 1 species